rnacentral:lncRNA from 1 species
UAGCAGAGACCCCGCAGCGGAAUAACAUUGAUGAGAACAUCACCGCCACCACAAUGAUCUCCUUCAUUCCCUGCAUUUUGCGAUCUUGAAAAACGAGCAUGCAUGCAUGCAUUUUCUAAUUAGUUAAUCGACCAAAGAUUUGAUACAUCACAAUUUUCCACAAUUCAAGAAAAGGACGGCGAGAAAAUUUCUGCCAUUUUCUCGGGAAAAUGCACAAACACUAGGUAAACACACGAUCAUGAAAGGAAAGAAACACGAAAUUAGCAAGAACAAACAGCGAUCCAAGGUCAAUGCAAGUCAAAAGGAAGUACGUAGCAGAUUAAUUAUCUACAAACAUGUGUGUGUAUAUAUAUUUAUAUAUGAUUAAAAUUAAUACUUACUUGUAGUUCUUGAUUUCUUGAGUUCGUAAGAAGAAGAUCGAAACGAAGACGAUAGAUCAAGGAGGAAGACGAGAAAUCUGUGUAAUGAAUGAGAGGAGAAAGUAGUGAAAUAAUGGAGAAGCGAAUUGAAACGACGAAUUGGUGGAAUGGAAUGGAUCGGAGAAGUUAGCUAAGCGCAGUUCGAGUAGUGUAUAUAGUCGGUUCUUCCGCAGCUGCAGCCACCUUUUGGUUAUAGAGAGAGAAGGUAGUUAGAGAGAGAGAGAGAGAGAGAGAGAGAGAGAGCGUGGCACAGUAUUUCUCGUUAGAAUUCUGUUUAAGAAAUCCGCCGAUGAGCAGAUAUGGUGCGUGCGCAACAAGACCAAAGCAUUUACCAAUCAUCACCUAAACCUUCUACUUUAAUCAUUAAAUUUUAAUUUUUGUAUUUUAAAAAUCUAACGGUUAAAAUAUUCGAAGUAUAGAGUACCAUAGAAAGUGCCACUAUUAUAAAUUUUAGUUUCCAUGAAAGAGAAUAUUUAACAAUUAAAUGUGUUUUAAUAGACCCCAAACAACUACUUGAGCAAACUAUGUUUUUUUUGUGAAAGCGAGCAUGCCACACGACCGAGCGUAGUCGGGUAAGUAGAAUAGAUGUGGUGAUGGCAGUAUCGAAUGCACUGUAGACUUCUACACCUGAGUGACUACGAUUGAGGAAGGAACACCUAUCGGACUCUAGAACCUGAAGACAACGUUGCUUAAUUCACUACGAAGUUCAUAAUCUUCUACAUCAAGUUCGACAGCUUCAACUAUAUUCCUAAGAAUAUAACUGUGUCGAAUCAGUAUCAUGUUGUAUGGGCAAAAAUACUUAAAGAAAAUUAGUGUCUUUAUGGUGAACAUGGUUAGGCCAUCUGAAUGUCGAACUAUGAAGUGCACCUGGAAUUAACCAAUCAUAGAACACCUCACCUAUUUGGGAAGCUAAUGAAGUGACCUCUUUAGGCGAAAAAAUUGAAAACUCUUCGCCCAUGAGAUUUGGAUAGAUAACCAACUAGAUGUAGCGUUAAUCCAAACUGAAGAUGCUCCUAAAUUGCUUGAUUCUAUGGCUCCAUGUGUUGUUAAUCCAAAUUGAAGAUAUCGUCGAUUGCCAACACAAUAUUGUUUAUCCAAACUGAAGGUGUGCUGACGAGAGGGUUAGGAUAAUUAGUAUUUUUCUCAAGGUUGUGAAUGGUUUCACAUAGAGCACGAGUUUUUGCAUAAAGCGUUUUGAGUUGUUUCUUGAGCUGAAAUGGGUCCUCAUGUUGCAGAACCCUUAUAUUAUAAAAAUGGGUUUCGUGAUAACCGAGUCUGCCAAGGUAGAGUUCUGAUAGGACUAUGCCUACACGGCAUUCACCUAGAUAUCCUCUCUUUAUCCCUUUAAUAGCUUCUUUAAUCAAAACCCAAUUUUUAUCUGGUCUCGAAUUUUUUUGACUUAAACUAAGAUUCUAAACUUAGCCCCUUUGUGCACUUAAUUCAUUUUUAUCUGAUCAAACAUAGGUCUUGAUCCUUAGAAUAAUGCAAAUCUUAUCAAAACAUAUCCUAAUUCUUACCAAUCUUAAUUCAACUAGGACUGGACUGAGCCACGAUUGGACCUGAUAACUUAACAAUCCUACUUCCAUUAGGACUUGAUCUAAUCAAUGCUCUUCUGAGCUAGAAGCCCACUAGUCUAAGGAAUCACUAUUGGGCUGAGAAUCUUGACAUUUCAACUCGGGUUAUUGUAACAACCCGUCCCAAAUAAUUUUACGAAUUUCAGAACAGAAGGGCAUUUUGGUAAAUUCAUUGGGAUGGAUUAGAAAUUUUCAAUUGAGUUGCUUUUGGGUCUUAUUGUGUAUGCCUGGUGGGGCCCAUUUGCUUUGGUUUUGUCUUAUCGGCCCACUUUCCUUUCUUCUUCCUCCUUCCUGUGUGUAACUCUCCCUCACUCUCUUUCUACCCAUCACUUUUUCUCUUUCUCUCAAGCACUUCCCGAACCCUCUAUCUCAUCUACAACUCAUCCUCUUCCUCAUCUCAAUCUUAACAACAACAACAACCCUUCAAAGUUUCGUAAAGACCUUGAAACCCCAGGCUUGAAGCCGUGUACCCCAACAGUGACUAAGGUACUGUUCAUUGUCUUCCCCGACGAGUCACGACGGAGGAAACCACCUCGGAGAGUUUUCCCAGUUUCCAACAUAUACCCGUGGCUUUCAGGCCACUUUCCGGCCACCUCUCGACCUCUCACUGGUGCGUUUGUUAGUGGUGCUUCCGUCCACCCUUGUUUGCACGGCUCUUCGCCAACAGUGUAAGGUGAGUGGACCCCUUCCAAAAUGCAUGUUUUACUAUUAGAAAUGCAUACAUGAAAAGUAUGAUUUAAUGGCUACGUUUUAUGAAGCAUUUAUGAGUAAAUUAGAUUCACACUUUAUGAUAUAUUAUGCUUUAUCGACUUUACAUUCUUUGUGGUAGAUAUGAUUGUUGACUAUAUACCUACUUAUGAGCGUGGUUUUACGAUAUGACGUUUAGUUACUGAGCUCCGAUAUGACGUUUUAGUUACUGAGCUU